rnacentral:rRNA from 1 species
GACGAACGCUGGCGGCGUGCCUAAUACAUGCAAGUCGAACGAAGCUGUUUUAACUGGUGCUUGCACCGACUUAAACAACUGAGUGGCGAACGGGUGAGUAACACGUGGGUAACCUGCCCCAAAGCGGGGGAUAACAUUUGGAAACAGAUGCUAAUACCGCAUAACCACAGAAACCACAUGGUUUCUGUGUCAAAGAUGGUUUCGGCUAUCACUUUGGGAUGGACCCGCGGCGUAUUAGCUAGUUGGUAAGGUAAUGGCUUACCAAGGCAAUGGUACGUAGCCGAACUGCGAGGGUGAUCGGCCACAUUGGGACUGAGACCAGGCCCAAACUCCUACGGGAGGCAGCAGUAGGGAAUCUUCCACAAUGGACGAAAGUCUGAUGGAGCAACGCCGCGUGAGUGAAGAAGGUUUUCGGAUCGUAAAUCUCUGUUGUCAGAGAAGAACGUGUGCGAGAGUAACUGCUCGUGCAGUGACGGUAUCUGGCCAGAAAGCCACGGCUAACUACGUGCCAGCAGCCGCCGUAA